rnacentral:rRNA from 1 species
GGAUCCAGACUUUGAUUUGGCUCAGGAUGAACGCUAGCGGCAGGCCUAACACAUGCAAGUCGAGGGGCAGCACGGUGUAGCAAUACACUGGUGGCGACCGGCGCACGGGUGCGUAACGCGUAUGCAACCUACCCAUAACAGGGGGAUAACACUGAGAAAUUGGUACUAAUACCCCAUAACAUCAGGACCGGCAUCGGUUCUGGUUGAAAGCUCCGGUGGUUAUGGAUGGGCAUGCGUUGUAUUAGCUGGUUGGUGAGGUAACGGCUCACCAAGGCAACGAUACAUAGGGGGACUGAGAGGUUAACCCCCCACAUUGGUACUGAGACACGGACCAAACUCCUACGGGAGGCAGCAGUGAGGAAUAUUGGUCAAUGGACGCAAGUCUGAACCAGCCAUGCCGCGUGCAGGAAGACGGCUCUAUGAGUUGUAAACUGCUUUUGUACGAGGGUAAACGCUCUUACGUGUAAGAGCCUGAAAGUAUCGUACGAAUAAGGAUCGGCUAACUCCGUGCCAGCAGCCGCGGUAAUACGGAGGAUCCAAGCGUUAUCCGGAUUUAUUGGGUUUAAAGGGUGCGUAGGCGGUUUGAUAAGUUAGAGGUGAAAUACCGGUGCUUAACACCGGAACUGCCUCUAAUACUGUUGAACUAGAGAGUAGUUGCGGUAGGCGGAAUGUAUGGUGUAGCGGUGAAAUGCUUAGAGAUCAUACAGAACACCGAUUGCGAAGGCAGCUUACCAAACUAUAUCUGACGUUGAGGCACGAAAGCGUGGGGAGCAAACAGGAUUAGAUACCCUGGUAGUCCACGCAGUAAACGAUGAUAACUCGCUGUCGGCGAUACACAGUCGGCGGCUAAGCGAAAGCGAUAAGUUAUCCACCUGGGGAGUACGUUCGCAAGAAUGCAACUCAAAG